CUAAUCUUCUAACUAUCGUAUUAGAUUAUCGUGUAUGUAAUGGUCAAAGAAUAUAUUUAAUGAUAAUUCACAAUUGCAGUGCAUAUCAUUCGCGACAACUUUGUCGCCUGCACUGCAAUACCAGCUGAUCUUGCAAAAGCUUACAUUGCGAGAGCAAGCCUUUGCAAGAACCUUCAAAGCUUGGGACACAACUGGUAAAUUGCACCCAUCUUCGCUUCUUACAUUCCAAGAAGAGAGAGAGAGCAACUGGAAUGUGGGCCUAUAAAAAGAGCCACAUGGGUCAAAUCGUUCUUUUUCCGGCAUCACGAGAUCAUCAAGUCAAAAUUUGGUUGUGCUGAAAAUUUAAAAGUAUAAACCUAUAUAAUUAAACCAAAUUAAAAAAAUUUUUUUUUGAGAAAAUAAAACCCACGAGCCCAAAAAUUAAGAAAGUGCAAGCGAUCGCGUUUGCUUUUUGCAUUGAAUUGAAUUGAAUUUGCAGCGCGCAGCUGCCGGUCUCAAAAUAUAUGUUAGAUAUAUAUACAUUUAUAUAUAUAUAUUAUUAUGAUAUAUAUAUAUAUAUCAGAUUUUCCAUUUUCAGUGGACUUUUGUCCAUUUUUCUCAUAUUAGAUACCCUAACUUCACGCCAGCAAGGGUCACCUUGAAGAGCGGAGGUUAGGGUACGAAAAGCCGGCAGAGCAGCAUAACGCCUAAGCGACCGGGGAGAGGAAGGGCAGCAUCAAAAGAAAAAAACGGAAAAAAAAACCAACAAAAUAAAAGAAACUUUACUGCGUGAAAAAAACAACCAUAUGAAUUUCUGAAAACGUGAAAAAAUAUAACUAAUGAAAUAGAAAUUUUAAAAUAGAUUAGUAUUUGCAUAUAGAAAAAAAACUGCGAAAUAUAAAGAAAAGAACUUAAAAUAAAAAAAAAAGAAUUUGUGCAAGACAUUUAAAUUGCCGACGGCAAGUGAAAAGUUAUUUUUUUUUUUGUCGAGAGAAAAGUUAAAGAAAACAGAAAAAUUAGUGGUUUAAAAGCUCAAUCAUAAAAUCUAUAAUUACUAUAUAUAUAUAAUGAACACACAAAAACGAAACCAAUAAAUAAAUAUAUAUCAAUAAAUAGAUAUAUAUGAAUAAAUAAAAAAAAUGAAUAAAUAAGAAACAUAAAGCAAAGUACAGCACAUCAAACGAUAAAAAUGAAUCCACACACAGUUAAUACCCUAUAAAGAAAAAUCGAAGAGAGAAAACAAAUGUUCAAAAAAAUAACUAACAAAAAUAACGCCAGAAAAAACAAAUUAAAGAUUGUGUUGUUCCUCCCCUCCCGCUAAUAUACCCCAUUUCUACACUUAACAGCUGACACCACCACGCAGAAAGGCCGCACGCAGAAAGAAGAAAAGAGAAAUAAUGAUUUAGAUAAAUAAAAACAGCAGAAAAAUAGUAAACGUAUAAUUGUAAGUGAAGUAAAAAUUAUUAUUUGAAUGAAAAAAAAAUAACAGUA